GUCCCUACGGGGUAAACAACACGUGUGUAUGUUUAUAUCUGUUUCACCUGUGUUUUGAUUGUGUCUUGUGCUCGUAACAUUGGCUGAUGAGCUAACUGGCGGCCAGACGCCAGUAAUCAGGACCGGGCCAGCAGCUGAUCGGCGAGGGACGUUUGCAUUGGCUGACUGUGGUAUAAAAUCCCAGGUAUGACUCUGUUGUGGAGGACGGGCAGUGCUACGAGAGGCGCCGGUGCAGAGGACAAGUCGGACGGAGUUUCGUUUGUGGACUGUAGCGUGUAGCCGUAUUGCUCGUGGUGGCUGUGUAUGUUUGUGUUCUCUCCCUUUCAUUUUCUCUCUCUUCUGCCGGUGCCGAUCGGGCUGGACGGGGCUGGAGCUGGGAGUGUAGCUGACAUGCCAAGACGAUCCGCAGUGGAGGGACGCGGCGGCUCGUGGAAGACAGGCGGCGGAGGAGAUCGGUGUUGGCUGUUGAUGUGGCGCAGUAAAUCCGAGUCAAGGAACGUAACUAUGCCUGCAAGUGACUGUGUGAGUGGGUCUGGUAGCGUCGCUGGCCUUGGAUGCUGAGCCUGUGUGUUUUCCUCUCCCGCUAGACUGCAGCGAGUGGGCGGAGCUUCCGGGUGCGCGUGAGGGUGCGUUCCAGCCUAUCGGUGAGCAGAAGAGGACGUGGGAACGUUCAAACGGAACUUUCUUGUGAGCUCUUCACGCUGCGCCCUGGGAGGACUACUGGCCGCCAGUUAAGUGCACGGAUGUGCUGUGGACAUUGAAGCUGGUUAUGACCUGUGCUGUGUAAAUAUGAUAGUGGUUUAUUGUCAAUUUAUUUUUGGUUUGUGGUUGUUUUGUUUGGUUUGAUUUUGGGGGAUUCAGUGAGUUGGCUGUGGCAGAGCCAAUGGGUCCCCCUAUGUGUAAGAUUUAAUUUUCUGUUUGUGUGUCUAUUUAUAUGGUGUGGGACUUGACCUCCCGGCAGGAGGGGAUCUGAGGGCUGCAGCAGUGGACCCUAUGACUUUGCUGUGCUAAAUUAGCUAGCCUUGUGGUAAUUCUACAUUUGGAGUGGGUUUUAAAUAGUAGCUUAGCCAAGCCUUGGGGUGUUGUGUAUGAACUGUUAUAUUGUGUGCUGCACUGGACUGAUUUCUAUUGGUUGAUGAAUUGUAACUGCCUACUGCUGCAGAAUGUAUGAUGGAAAGAGACUGUGGGGAGGUCCUUAAUAAAUAUUGGUCAUCUGCA